rnacentral:rRNA from 1 species
CAGCACCUCAAGUGGUCAGGAUGAUUAUUGGGCCUAAAGCAUCCGUAGCCGGCUCUGUAAGUUUUCGGUUAAAUCUGUAUGCUCAACAUACAGGCUGCCGGGAAUACUGCAGAGCUAGGGAGUGGGUGAGGUAGACGGUACUCGGUAGGAAGGGGUAAAAUCCUUUGAUCUAUUGAUGACCACCUGUGGCGAAGGCGGUCUACCAGAACACGUCCGACGGUGAGGGAUGAAAGCUGGGGGAGCAAACCGGAUUAGAUACCCGAGUAGUCC